rnacentral:RNase_P_RNA from 2 species
UGAGUAAGACAGAUAAUCGCUGCUGCUAUUGCCGAAAGGACGCAGGAGAGGAAAGUCCGGGCUUCGCAGGGCAGGAUGCCGGCUAACGGCCGGUGGAGGUGACUCCCAGGAAAGUGCAACAGAAAUAAAACCGCCUUUUUAGGUAAGGAUGAAAUGGCAGUGUAAGAGACUACCGCUUUGGUGGUAACAUCAAAGGUCAAUGUAAACCCCAUCCGAAGCANNNNNNNNNNNNNNNNAUCCGAAGCAAGACCGAGCAGAAAGCAUAUGGUGGCCCGCCAGCUUUCGGGUAGGUUGCUUGAACUUGUUGGCAACAAUAAGUCUAGAUAGAUGAUUAUCCAAGACAUAACCCGGCUUACAGUCUUGCUCGCAUU